rnacentral:tRNA from 1 species
AACUUCAUAGUUUAAAAAAAAUAUUUAAUUUGCAAUUAAAAGAUAAAAAUUUUUAGAUUUA